rnacentral:rRNA from 1 species
GGGUUGUGAGGUUAAGCGACUAAGCGUACACGGUGGAUGCCCUGGCAGUCAGAGGCGAUGAAGGGCGUGCUAAUCUGCGAUAAGCGCCGGUAAGGUGAUAUGAACCGUUAUAACCGGCGAUACCCGAAUGGGGAAACCCAGUGUGACUCGUCACACUAUCAUUAACUGAAUCCAUAGGUUAAUGAGGCGAACCGGGGGAACUGAAACAUCUAAGUACCCCGAGGAAAAGAAAUCAACCGAGAUUCCCCCAGUAGCGGCGAGCGAACGGGGAGGAGCCCAGAGCCUGAAUCAGCAUGUGUGUUAGUGGAAGCGUCUGGAAAGGCGCGCGAUACAGGGUGACAGCCCCGUACACAAAAGCGCAUGUGCUGUGAGCUCGAUGAGUAGGGCGGGACACGUGGUAUCCUGUCUGAAUAUGGGGGGACCAUCCUCCAAGGCUAAAUACUCCUGACUGACCGAUAGUGAACCAGUACCGUGAGGGAAAGGCGAAAAGAACCCCGGCGAGGGGAGUGAAAAAGAACCUGAAACCGUGUACGUACAAGCAGUGGGAGCCCCACCACCAAAGCAUUCUCUGGUGUUGAAGGCCCUGCAAAGCAGCAUCGCGGUGGCGGAGCGUCGUUUGCGACGCCCAACACACAAAACAAGCGGUGAGUGCUUUGGGGUGGGGUGACUGCGUACCUUUUGUAUAAUGGGUCAGCGACUUAUAUUCUGUAGCAAGGUUAACCGUAUAGGGGAGCCGGAGGGAAACCGAGUCUUAACCGGGCGUUAAGUUGCAGGGUAUAGACCCGAAACCCGGUGAUCUAGCCAUGGGCAGGUUGAAGGUUGGGUAACACUAACUGGAGGACCGAACCGACUAAUGUUGAAAAAUUAGCGGAUGACCUGUGGCU